rnacentral:rRNA from 1 species
UGGGGAAUAUUGCACAAUGGGCGCAAGCCUGAUGCAGCGACGCCGCGUGAGGGAUGGAGGCCUUCGGGUUGUAAACCUCUUUUAUCGGGGAGCAAGCGAGAGUGAGUUUACCCGUUGAAUAAGCACCGGCUAACUACGUGCCAGCAGCCGCGGUAAUACGUAGGGUGCAAGCGUUAUCCGGAAUUAUUGGGCGUAAAGGGCUCGUAGGCGGUUCGUCGCGUCCGGUGUGAAAGUCCAUCGCUUAACGGUGGAUCUGCGCCGGGUACGGGCGGGCUGGAGUGCGGUAGGGGAGACUGGAAUUCCCGGUGUAACGGUGGAAUGUGUAGAUAUCGGGAAGAACACCAAUGGCGAAGGCAGGUCUCUGGGCCGUUACUGACGCUGAGGAGCGAAAGCGUGGGGAGCGAACAGGAUUAGAUACCCUGGUAGUCCACGCCGUAAACGGUGGAUGCUGGAUGUGGGGCCCGUUCCACGGGUUCCGUGUCGGAGCUAACGCGUUAAGCAUCCCGCCUGGGGAGUACGGCCGCAAGGCUAAAACUCAAAGAAAUUGACGGGGGCCCGCACAAGCGGCGGAGCAUGCGGAUUAAUUCGAUGCAACGCGAAGAACCUUACCUGGGCUUGACAUGUUCCCGACAGCCGUAGAGAUGCGGCCUCCCUUCGGGGCGGGUUCACAGGUGGUGCAUGGUCGUCGUCAGCUCGUGUCGUGAGAUGUUGGGUUAAGUCCCGCAACGAGCGCAACCCUCGCCCUGUGUUGCCAGCACGUCAUGGUGGGAACUCACGGGGGACCGCCGGGGUCAACUCGGAGGAAGGUGGGGAUGACGUCAGAUCAUCAUGCCCCUUACGUCCAGGGCUUCACGCAUGCUACAAUGGCCGGUACAACGGGAUGCGACAUGGCGACAUGGAGCGGAUCCCUGAAAACCGGUCUCAGUUCGGAUUGGAGUCUGCAACCCGACUCCAUGAAGGCGGAGUCGCUAGUAAUCGCGGAUCAGCAACGCCGCGGUGAAUGCGUUCCC